AGUGAACGCUGGCGGUAGGCCUAACACAUGCAAGUCGAACGGCAGCACAGUAAGAGCUUGCUCUUACGGGUGGCGAGUGGCGGACGGGUGAGGAAUACAUCGGAAUCUACUUUUUCGUGGGGGAUAACGUAGGGAAACUUACGCUAAUACCGCAUACGUCCUACGGGUGAAAGCAGGGGAUCUUCGGACCUUGCGCGAUUGAAUGAGCCGAUGUCGGAUUAGCUAGUUGGCGGGGUAAAGGCCCACCAAGGCGACGAUCCGUAGCUGGUCUGAGAGGAUGAUCAGCCACACUGGAACUGAGACACGGUCCAGACUCCUACGGGAGGCAGCAGUGGGGAAUAUUGGACAAUGGGCGCAAGCCUGAUCCAGCCAUACCGCGUGAGUGAAGAAGGCCUUCGGGUUGUAAAGCCCUUUUGUUGGGAAAGAAAAGCAGCAGGUUAAUACCCCGCUGUUCUGACGGUACCCAAAGAAUAAGCACCGGCUAACUUCGUG
rnacentral:rRNA from 1 species